UGUCAACUCCAAAUGCCUUGGUACAAAAGGAAAACAGCUGGAAGAAAACUACUUUCGGAGAACUUUUCAGGGAAAGAUUAUACAGUGUGUCUGUCACAAGGAAGAGUCUGGCUGAAUACAUGAAUAAUGUAUGCAGCAGACGGGAAACAGGGUUGGGUUUUUUUUUUCCCCUUUGUCUCAUUUGAAUCUUCUAUGUCGGUGUCAAGAAGGAACAGGUAAAAGUCUAAGUCUGAGAAGACCGCAGCAGGACAAAAUGGCAUCCAAUGUAAGACUGCAACUGAACAGCGAGGGCGUGUCCGAGGGCGGAGCUGCUCUUCAUUCCAAUCCCGGGUGUUUGAGACACUGAGUUGAAAACCAAGUGAAGGAACCAAAGAACAUCCCAGGUAAGGGUCAGAGACCACAAGAUACAUCCCAGAGGAAACAGCACAACCGCGUCUAAAAGCCAUGCCGCCUCAACUCAGUGUUCUCUUCAUUGGUCCCUGCCAGCUCUCCCAAAAGGAUGCAAUGCAUGCACCUCAGAUUCUGUCUACCAAGAACCAGGGUUAUAAGACUACGGUAUAUCAGUGCAAGGAAAAGCUACCGUUCCAUGAAGAAAGACACUGUGCAAUGAUCUGUUGUUACCUGUGACUCCACAGUCCCUCUCCCUCUGCCAGAACUAUUUUACCCGCUAAACCAGGGGUGUAUCUUUGGACUCUUUGCCAUCAAACAUCAUUCUUCUUCCCAAAGGAAUUUUAAAUACUUCUUUUCAAGCACAGAGGAGCCAGCUUUUCACCCCCUGCCUCUGAAAGAACCUACAGAGAUCACAAAGAUAUAUUUGACCCGGCUCAGAUGCUCCAAGAAUACAGUUCACAAGACCAUCCCACUUCAUUACCACAGAGGGAAGAGCCUAAGAAUCUGAUCCCUUCGGCACCAUGCAAGUGAUUGUUUUUAAGAUGCAUUUGGCCAGGGCUACACAGAGAAACCCUGUCUCAAAAAAAAAAAAAGAUGCAUUUGUUGUCUUCACAAUGCCAGCAAUGAAUCAUUUGCAUUCUUAAAGACAAGCUGGCUGGACUCACCAUCCCCCAAACAGUAGCUCAUCAGGCUGACAUGGACGUGAAAUGGACAAGCUGAAUUGACCUUGUGAGGAGCUCCAUCUGUGGACUGGGGCAGUUGACCUGAGUCCACUUGGGUUUAAGUCCUGGUCCUGCCCUCCAUCACAAAGGUCUGUGGCCUGGUUUAACCUCAUUCAGUUUUAUUUCCUUCUCUGUAGAGAGCCACCCUCGUGGGCUUCAGUGAUACAACAUGUCUGAUGCACACAAAGAUGCGAGGUGUACAGAACACUUGCUGCCGCUGAUCCUGGCAUGCUGCUGGGUGCACGGUAAAUGAUAGCUCUUUUUAUUGGGAC